rnacentral:tRNA from 1 species
GAGGGUAUAGCUCAGUAGUAAGAGUACGUGCUUAGCAUGCCCGAAGUCCUGGGUUCGAUCCCCAGUACCUCUA